ACGCUCGACACCUACGGGAGGCAGCAGUGGGGAAUAUUGCACAAUGGGGGAAACCCUGAUGCAGCGACGCCGCGUGGAGGAAGAAGGUCUUCGGAUUGUAAACUCCUGUUGUUGGGGAAAAAGAGGAUGGGUAACCCAACAAGGAAGUGACGGCUAACUACGUGUCAGCAGCCGCGGUAAUCUGAGGCGGCUGGCAAGGC
rnacentral:rRNA from 1 species